AAAACAUUCCCUACAAGUUCCCUACAUGAAUUGCAUAAUAGAGAUACAAGCAAGAAUCAUUAAGUUCUAUGAAAAACAUAAGCAUUGACAAGGCACUCGUUACUAUGAUUUGCAUGAAACUUAUGCCAAGAAUUUACUUAACGUGAUUGUGACUAGCAACCUUCACUACUUGUGAAUAUAAGUUCAUAACGAUUAGGUGAAACUCCCUUAUAUUCUAGCGUUAAAUUCAUGCAUGAAAAGUAAGCGUGCACUCUCAACCAACAUACACAAAUCAUUUUUUAUACGAUCGGAUAAGUAAAUUGAAUUCACAACUUAUGAAUCACAACUGGAUGUAAUCAAAUCAUAUUGCAAGUAUGAACAUGGUUUCGAAUCACCCCCCAACUAAGAGGGGUUUAGUUCCUCAUACUCACAAAGCAAAGAUACAUAAAAUUAGACAUUAAAAUCAA
rnacentral:lncRNA from 1 species